AAGACUCUGAGACCUCUGAACGUAGCAACUUGAGCGGAUGAAUUUAUGGAUUAUGAAUCAUCUUCAUAAAGGUGAAUGGAGGACGUUAUCAAGUCAGUCAGAGGCUGGACGGUAAGUCCCUUCUUAUAUACUGUCUAUGGGAAGUCCCACACAGCAGUCUCCUUCCUUCGGGUUAGGCAAUAAUCAUCCGGGGAACUGUCCACUCGCCGUAGCCGGAUACACAAACACACACACGGUUCCUGUGUCCCGUUGCUAACUUACAGCUAGCUUAUGCUAACGUCUGUACUGUUGCUACUUUGGCUGUUCGGGGGCGAAUAAACAAACGACCCCGCGGUCACAUUCACCGGAAUGAUGCUAGGAGAAAAGUAGGCAUCGCUGUGAGAAGGAAUAUGGCGUUUGGUAUCGGUUUUGUUUGUGUUUCUGCAAAUAGACGGUUGCAGGUGGACUGGUGUUUACAUGGUCCGUGGGAGCUGGAAGUCCGCAGCUGUGUGGCGGCUGCAGUGAUUUUAUGUGUCUCCUAGCUGCAGACCUGCAGCCUCAAUGGAUGUCAUCUGGGAAGAAGAAGAGGAGCCUUGUAGAGACCAGCUGAAGGAACAUCUUCUCUGAGCUGAAGCUCUGAGAUGAGUGCAGAGUUUCCGGACCACAACGGAGAAGUUCCUUCACUCCAUUCAUGCCUUCUUCUCUCCGUACUCACUGUAUAGUCACAGUAUUGUAUGUCAUGAAAUAAUUUAAUAAAAAAGUAAGUAGGCUAAUAGUACGUAUUAUGUCAAAAAAAGCUCAGAAAAGUCAUACAUAAUGUCAAAAAGUGUUAUUACAUAGUUAUUACAUUGUUAUAAGAUGUAUUAUGACCAAAAUCUAUCAAAAAGUAAAACAAAAAGUGUUAUUACAUAGUUAUUACAUUGUUAUAACAUGUAUUAAUGACAAAAAAAUCUAUCAAAAAGUUAAAAAAAAUGUCAAAAAGUGUUAUUACACAGUUGUACACAGUACAUGCCAUAAAAGUGGGUGUAAAUUAUUGUUUCGUCCAUGAAAAAAAAAUUCAAAUUUUUUUUUCUGAAUUUAGGAUGUUCUCUUCCUUUGUCCUACUCUGGUCUCUCCCUUUCUCUGAGGUGUCCUACUCUUGUCUCUCCCUUUCUCUGCGGUGUCCUACUCUUCUCUGAGUUGUCCUACUCUGGUCUCUCCCUUUCUCUGAGGUGUUCUACUCUUCUCUGAGUUGUCCUACUCUGGUCUUUCCCUUUCUCUGAGUUGUCCUACUCUGGUCUCUCCCUUUCUCUGAGGUGUCCUACUCUGGUCUCUCCCUUUCUCUAAGGUGUCCUACUCUGGUCUCUCCCUUUCUCUGAGGUGUCCUACUCUUGUCUCUCCCUUUCUCUGCGGUGUCCUACUCUUCUCUGAGUUGUCCUACUCUGGUCUCUCCCUUUUUCUGAGUUUUCCUACUCUGGUCUCUGCCUGUCCUUGUCUUAAUACUCUCCUACUCUCUCCUUGCCUGCACUUCCUUUCCUAGCCUCUCUUUCCUAUCUGGGGGGCCUAUCUAAGUGCACAUACGCUGAUACCGAGCUGGUCUUGAACCCGUCACUGGCGCCUUUAGUGGCGAGGACAAACCAACCGCGCCACCAGCGCACGUACGCAUGCAGCUGUUCUCCGGGUGUAUUUGUCUUUGUCAUUCUGUGUGUAAAGCUCAAAAUAAAUUGACUGUUCUUGUGUUGGAACCCAUAACCUUUGUGUCUCUUAACCAGCGUUCCAUCACUCUGAGCUAUCAGAUCUGAUCACUAAGCUUAUUGUUAGUUGUGUAUUUGUCUUUGUCAUUCUGGGUGUAAAACUCAAAAUAAAUUGUUUAUUCCUGUAUUGGAACCCAUAA